rnacentral:lncRNA from 1 species
UUACAUGAAAGAUCUGUGAUCAAUUUCCCUCACCAGCAGUUUACUUAGUCAGAGCUCGUCGUACUGGACGUGCCUAAUACAACUUAUAUUUUUAGUGUAAUUUGCGAGCUAUUAUACAGUGAGCAGAUCAUUCAAUACGCACACGAAAAGUACCGCCUGCAGAUUUUCCUUGAAAUUUUUCAAAAGAAACUGUUAAAAUGUAAACCUAUAAAAAAGACAAGUUGGGGGGAAAUAUAGCUUGCUUUAGAUUUAUAUACUUCUCGUUUAUUUUCUUUUUUCCAAUAUAUAGAAGGAAAAAAUAAGACAGCCCCUUUGUUUCGAUCGGAAAGAAGACUUGGAGACAUUGAAAGAUAUGGC